ACCAUGCACUGUGCUGUGUUUUACCUUUCUGUGUUUUUCUUAUUUGCUCCUGUAAAGCUGCUUUGGAACAAUGCACAUUGUGAAAAGCGCUAUAUAAAUAAAAUUGAAUUGAAUUUUCUCUUAAUAAGGUAAUUAUUUACAAUUUGUGAAGUUAUGAAGAUGUUUCUCCCUGAUUGUAUUCGGUGUGUAUGUUAAUAUGUAAGUUCUGCAUUAAAACAAAAAAUACAGUGCAACGGAUCGAUCGUCAUGGCAGAGCAGAGGAGGCAGAUCUCAAGUAUGUCUAGAUGCCUCUGUUCAGACACAAGACACUUUACAUAGCUUAGAUAUUACAGUGGUGUGCUCUGGAAGAAAUGCAAUGAAACAUUCAAGGCUCAACUCACACGAUCAUUCUGUUUGAUCAUUUACAUACACUGGAUUCUUAAUCAUGUUACUUGGACAAUCAACGACUGUUUUUGUUUUGUGGUUGUUAAGAAUAAGUACCUUGUUUGUCCUCAGCUGUCAACUGCCCGCUGAUCUUCAGAAAAAUCAUCCAGUUCUUGCGCAUUCUUUGCUUUACCAGCAUCAUAUUAUGAUAUAUGGCUCAGCAAAAUGUCUCCAUACCGACGCUUACCUGGUCUGAACUAUAUCUGUAUGAGGGACACCUCUGCUACAACCAGCAUUUGGUCACAUUUUCAAACAGCAUAUCAUUUUAUUUUAACUUUUAUACCUCAACAAAAUGUUUGGUAUCAUAUGAUUUAAGCAGAAUUGUA